ACCAAUACGAUGGCACUGUCU
rnacentral:miRNA from 1 species